AACAGGUAGUGCAAAGCUGGGCCUGAUAUGAGGAAAAGAGACACAGUAUUUACAUAGUUUUACUUUCCUUUCUCCUUAUUGUCAUUUGAGGAAGGCUAAGUGUAAUUACUGCUUACGGUGUAAGGUACAUGAACAGGGAAAAGCUAGAAUUUUGGGCACAAAGCCUGAAGUGAAAUGGCAUGACAACACGAUGAUUAAGUUACUGGUUGAGUAUCUAGAGGUCUGGAGACAUAAAUUUAAAUCUCGCCACAGCAUCUGGAGAACUGAAGUCCAAAUAAUUAAACAAACCUGGAUUUUAAAAGCCUGUCUCGGUAAUGGUUCCAUCAAAGUCAAAAGCAAUCAAGGAUGAAUUUCUAUGCCGUUGCCUUUUGAUUGAUAUGCUAACCAAGCCGCUGCCCGUAUCUCAGUGGGAUGUAAGAGGUGUCCUGAAUGGUGAUAUGCCAAUCACCUUUGUGUAUUGAUGCUGCCGAGCAAAGUGCUUUCACAAAAUAUGGUGUUGGGAACAGAUGUCUGGAGCAAAGCACAUCGAGCGCGUGGAUCGGAUUUUGGACUUUUUGUAAAUGGCGGUAAAACAUGGCGACAUCCUGAUCUCAGGUGCUGACAGUGCGUAGUUUGCAUGUUCUU